GCCCGAUUAGUUCAGCUGGAUAGAAUGUCUGCCUACGGAGCAGAUGGUACGAGGACGACACCUGAGGGACUCGAACUCUCGCGGGCG